rnacentral:rRNA from 1 species
GACAGAGGAUGCAAGCGUUAUCCGGAAUGAUUGGGCGUAAAGCGCGCGCAGGCGGUCAUUUAAGUUUGGUGUUUAAUCCCGGAGCUCAACUCCGGGUCGCACUGAAAACUGGGUGACUUGAGUACAGAAGAGGAGAGUGGAAUUCCACGUGUAGCGGUGAAAUGCGUAGAUAUGUGGAGGAACACCAGUGGCGAAGGCGACUCUCUGGGCUGUAACUGACGCUGAGGCGCGAAAGCGUGGGGAGCAAACGGG